GAGAAAAGAAACCAACAGGGAUUACCUCAGUAACGGCGAGUGAAGCGGUAAUAGCUCAAAUUUGAAAUCUGGCCUCUUGGGGUCCGAGUUGUAAUUUGUAGAGGAUGUUUUGGGUACCGCCCCGGUUUAAAUUUCUUGGAACAGAAUGUCAAAGAGGGUGAGAAUCCCGUCUUGGACCGGUGGUAGGGCCUGUGUAAAACUCCUUCGACGAGUCGAGUUGUUUGGGAAUGCAGCUCAAAAUGGGUGGUAAAUUUCAUCUAAAGCUAAAUAUUGGCCAGAGACCGAUAGCGCACAAGUAGAGUGAUCGAAAGAUGAAAAGCACUUUGAAAAGAGAGUUAAACAGUAUGUGAAAUUGUUGAAAGGGAAGCGCUUGCAAUCAGACUUGAGCGCGGCGGUUCCCCUGACCUUUUGGUUAGGCUAUUCCGUCGUGUCCAGGCCAACAUCGGUUCUGAGGGUCGGUCAAAGGCCUUGGGAAUGUAUCUACCCACGGGUAGACUUAUAGACCAGGGUGUCAUGCGGCCUCUCGGGACCGAGGAACGCGCUUCGGCUCGGAUGUUGGCGUAAUGGUUGUCAGCGACCC
rnacentral:rRNA from 1 species